GGCUACCACUUACAGAUGGACCCGCGGCGCAUUAGCUAGUUGGUGAGGUAACGGCUCACCAAGGCGACGAUGCGUAGCCGACCUGAGAGGGUGAUCGGCCACACUGGGACUGAGACACGGCCCAGACUCCUACGGGAGGCAGCAGUAGGGAAUCUUCCGCAAUGGACGAAAGUCUGACGGAGCAACGCCGCGUGAGUGAUGAAGGUUUUCGGAUCGUAAAGCUCUGUUGUUAGGGAAGAACAAGUGCCGUUCAAAUAGGGCGGCACCUUGACGGUACCUAACCAGAAAGCCACGGCUAACUACGUGCCAGCAGCCGCGGUAAUACGUAGGUGGCAAGCGUUGUCCGGAAUUAUUGGGCGUAAAGGGCUCGCAGGCGGUUUCUUAAGUCUGAUGUGAAAGCCCCCGGCUCAACCGGGGAGGGUCAUUGGAAACUGGGGAACUUGAGUGCAGAAGAGGAGAGUGGAAUUCCACGUGUAGCGGUGAAAUGCGUAGAGAUGUGGAGGAACACCAGUGGCGAAGGCGACUCUCUGGUCUGUAACUGACGCUGAGGAGCGAAAGCGUGGGGAGCGAACAGGAUUAGAUACCCUGGUAGUCCACGCCGUAAACGAUGAGUGCUAAGUGUUAGGGGGUUUCCGCCCCUUAGUGCUGCAGCUAACGCAUUAAGCACUCCGCCUGGGGAGUACGGUCGCAAGACUGAAACUCAAAGGAAUUGACGGGGG
rnacentral:rRNA from 1 species